rnacentral:lncRNA from 1 species
UUCUCUCUACUUUCUCUCUCUAGAUUUUCUAUGAUUUCUCGGUCUAAUAUGAAUGUUUACAUGGUAUCAGAGCCUCGACGACGAUCCGACUAUGUUUCUGUGUACUUCGUUGUCUUGGAUGAAGUCUUCGAAGUUUUGGGGGUGUUUUCUGAGACCUCACGGUCGAUGAAGAUUCCGACCUAUCGGACACCUUUCUGAGACUUUCGUCGUAAUAUUAGAGUGUAUUUUCUUCUCCUGAACGCUCUGGAAGGUUUUAUGAUGAUUUUUGGUUGAUUUUUGGGUGACCUAUCGGCUUCUAGGGUUUCUGGUGGUUUAACCUAAAGUUUUACUGCCAUCCGGUGGCUCGAUUCUCACUCAGUGGACGUUUUGGGUUCCUCUCCGACGUUCCUGACCACAUUUCCAGUAAGGUUUUCCAAGGUUACACUAGGGUUUGAUACCUAGGGUUUCUCUGUUGCUUGAAGGCCGAUCUUCUCCGGUCGCGAAGAAGGAAGGUAACUCUGUCCUUAUCUUCGGUAUUGUAUGUGAUUAUUUGACUGUGUAUAUGUGAGCAUCUAGUGUUGUCUAUGAAUACCUGAUUUGGUUAUACUUGUUAGAAAAUACGCUUAACGCUAGAGGGGGGGUGAAUAGCGUUAUAAUAAAAUUUAGCGUAAACUUGCGGAAUUUAAAAUUUGCAGGAAUCUGGUGUUGUUUGUGAAUACCUGAUUUGGUUAUACUCUGUUUGUUGGUUAUUGUGUGUGAAUACCUGUUUUGGUUAUAUUUGUUGAAAAGUUGUUCCUUUAAGCCGGUUCAUUGACUAUAGCUUCUAACACAAAUACUGGUGCCUCCUCUUCUGUAGACUCGUCCAGUCCCCUUUUUGUAUAUUCUUCUGAUAUUCCUGGGGUAUGUCUCGUUCCCACUCCCUUCUCGGGUAGUGGUUAUGGGGGCUGGAGACGUA